GGUACAUGUACACGUUGCGGUGCAACAAUAGUAAAAGA
rfam:Tissierella praeacuta DSM 18095 genome assembly, contig: EK13DRAFT_scaffold00006.6